AUGUGGCUUUUCAGUCCUAAUACUCAGCCAAUAAAAGAAAAGGUCAAGGAAACUUCCCAGGAGAUCUUCUCUAACUCUGUGUUUGACUUCCAAGAGGGUCAACAAUAGCAAGACCUGAUUAUUUGGACGUCUGACAAAUUUCACUAAAGAAGCCUACUUUCAAGAAACAAGUCAGAGGAACAAGCAGAACAGCAAAGAAAAGAUGGAGUAAGAUGUAAAAAAAAAAAAAAAAAACAUGGUGUGAAGUAUAAGAACACUUACUUUUUGAGUCAGCUGCAAGUUCCCAUUGAGGAUGUAGCUGGCCAUCUGUUGCUGCUCAAAUCUUAUGUGAAAGGUCUUACGGGAAUUGCAGAAAGAGAUCUGUUGUGCAUAUGAAAUAAUGGGACUGACAGUAACACAGGAGUUUCCUGAUUGCAGCAGUAAUUCUUUAAAAACUGAAAAUAUUUAGUGGAAAAAUAGACGUAAUAUGGGGGAAGAGAGGGAGGAUGGAAAAUUUACUGUAGAUGACUAAGAGUUAUGAGAAAUAAUAACUUAAGAGAAUAGAAGCACAGUGAAUAGUCUUUACAACAAAAAAUAAGUCUCAUCAGUAAAGUCACUUUCUGAAGAAAGAAAAAUGUGUUUUACAGUUUGGUAUAGUUAGAAGAGAUACAGCUAGAAGUCAUGCCUGCUCCCUCUGUAGCCAAGACUGUUGCUUCUGAAAACGUGUUGAUCGCUUCCCAAGACUUCUGAGAAGAUGCCACCAAAAGGUUGACUCCUAGCACAGAAAGGAUUUGCAUGAGCUCUCCUUUGAUUCUCAGACAGCUUCAAGGGGAACAGCUAGCAUCUGCUAUAGGUUUAUAUAGCUCAAAGAUUGGAAGCCAUUUAAUGGUGCAGGACACCCGAUUAGAGGCUAGAAGCACAGCUAACUCACCUUUGAGACAUCAGACAGAUGGCGUAUUGAACUCUUCUUUUCAGGAAGCAGUUCGAUCUGGAACACAACAAAGAUUUCAAGGCAAGGUAUCACCUUUAGUGUAAACAAGAACGUUUCUUUUCUCUUCUUGCUCUGGAUCCUUAACCUCAGAAAGCCAUUUCUUUCUACUGCCAUUUCACUAGCUGAUCUAACAACGUGGCAAACUGCAUCUACUCCUGCACAAUGACUACAAUCACAUCACGUCAGUGGAGUUCUACCUGCGACAAAAGGUCACCCUGUUACUUCAGCACGUAGGUUGGUCACUGUCUUCAAGGUUGUUGGUUGUUUUGCUCACUUUUCAGAUAUCAGAAAUGACAAAAUUGUUAACUGCUUAAGCUGGAGAUUCUUCCAAUCCACUAGACUGCUAUUCA
rnacentral:lncRNA from 1 species